rnacentral:lncRNA from 1 species
AAACACUUUAUUUUGUACUUUACAUUUGUAUUGUGUUAAAGAUUAUGAACAGAUUGUAAUAAACCUUUUAUAGUCCUUCCUUUUAAAAACUGGUUGUCAUUACCUCAAAUUGUUAAUUUAUAGGGGGCUGGCUUAGAAAUAUAUCCUGGGAGUAAGUGUAUCCUGAGUGACAAUGGGAUCCACCACUGCAAGGAGGGGAUCCUCAUUAAGGUAAGCAUUGUUUGAAACACAUUCUUCAAAAGGUUAGAAUGGUGUAUUCCUGUAAUUCCAGUACUCUAGAGGCUGUGGCAGGAGGAUCACCAAGAUUUCAAGGCCAGCCUGGGCUACAUAGUGAGUUCAAGGGCAGCCUAAACUACUAGUGAGACCUUGUCUCAAACAAACACCAACACCAAAAUGUUAGAAUGUUUUAAGUAAGAAAUGAUGUUUUAUUAAAUUCCCAUGCUGGGAAUCUGUUUUCUAGUUUUGAAAAAAAUAGAGAAUAGUAUAUAGGUUUUAAUAAUAUCAGUAAUUGGUGAUUGAAGGUCUCUUAUGAGAAUUUGCAGAAAUGAUAAGAGUGGUGUGUCACCAAGAGCUCAGCUACAACAUAUUAAUAAGCAUAGCUUUGUUACUUUAUUGUUAGAAUAGUGUAAAAGAGGUGAUUUUUUUAAAAAAAGACAGUGUUCAAUGUGGCAGUUCCUUAAUACAUUUGUUUUUAACAUCACAGGAUUUCUUAGAUGAGCAUUAUGAUAUUCCCAAAAUAUCCAUGGUAAAUAAUGUCAUACAUAAUAAUGAAGGCUAUGGUGUUGUUUUGGUGAAACCUACAAUUUUCUCUGACCUGAAAGAAAACGACCAAGAUAAAACUGAAGAAAAUAAAGCAGUUAAGAUUCAAACAAGUGGACAGGCAGAUGCAGCUGGAAGAGUGGAUCUAGAGGAGCUGAUUCACUGUGCAACUGACAAGAUGGAGAUUUAUGAAAGCGCUGCCGACCUUUCUGAACAAGUUGAGGGAAAUUGUGAAAUUAUAAAUGAACUAGUUGCUGCCUCCACACAAAAAGGCCAGAUAAGGAAGAAAAGGUUGAGUGAACUGGGGAUCACACAAGCUGAUGACAACUUAAUGUCACAGGAAAUGUUUGUUGUAAUUGUGGGGAACCAGUUUAAGUGGAAUGGGAAAGGGAGCUUUGGCACAUUUCUUUUCUGACCACGGUGAUAUAAAUAGCUAACAAAAUGUUGGAUUUUGCACAUGCUCCCCUAAGAUUCACUGCUGCUCAUGUGGUUUGCUUCAUGUCUAUAUUUGAUACAUUUGGUUGGGCUUGAGUGAAAUGUAAAUUUAUUUCUACCUGCAAGUAUUACACAUAAAGCAGUCCUUUAUAGAAAAGGUCAUUAAAAUAUGUAAAAUAGAAAAUAAUUGGAGAUUUCAUAUCUAGACUGUCUUGCUUUCUUGAAUAUAUACUUCUCUCAUAUUAAGCCUGUUAAUAACUUUCUAGUGUAAAUACACUUUAAUCUUUUUUUUUUUUUUUUUGGUGCCGGGGAUCGAACUCUGGUCCUUGCUUGUGCAGCAGGCAGCGAAACCGCUGAGCUAAAUCCCUGGCCCAGAUACACUUUGUGCUUCAGAGAGGAGGAAGGAAAGCAGCAAAUGCAAGACAAGUGCAUAAAAGUGCAGUAGGUGCCUCAUGUUUGGUGUUCUUCUGGAAUUGGUCUUUUUAGCCCAAUUAUAGCCAGUCUGAUUUUUAUACUAUAUUUGCAUAAUACUUGUCUUAAAGGAAAAGCUUUUAUGAUUAGGAAGUUAUCCACCUAAUCAGACUUGUUAUUGAGAAUCUGAGUGGGAUACAUGUUUAUGUCAUCGAAAGUGCAAUAGAUAGCAUGGCAAGUUUGAAACAAAUAAAAUGUGUUGUUUGGAGUCAGUGUGUACAUAGAACAUUUCUACUGUUGAAUAUGAAUGAUUAAAAGGUAUUUUUCUUUUAUAACUAUUCUGGUCAUAUGUAUUAGAAAGUCAAAAUGAUUAUGUAGCCUAUAUGAGCUAUAUAUUCUUGGUAUGUCAUACCAUGAACCUUAGCUUUUAACAUUUUAAACAUAAUUUAACAUUUUAACAUUUUUAACGUAUUUUAACAUUUUAAGAAGCUAUGUGAAAUUAAUAUAUGUACAAAUUAAAAUUAUAGUAAUGAAAUAAUAAAACUGAAUCUUGUAUAUUUCUAAACACGUUGUGGGCCAGAGUGCCAAUGUAGUGACAUAUAUAUAUAUAUAUAUAUAUAAAAUAUAUAUUAGUAUAUAUAGUAGUAUAGUACUAUAUAUAGUAUAGUAGUAUAUAUAGUAUAUAGUAUAUAUAGUAUAGUAUAUAUAUAGCAUAGUGUGUAUAUAUAGUAUAUAUAUAGUAGUAUAUAUAGUAGAGAUAUAUAUACAUAUAUAUGUGUAUCUGACAUAAUGGUUUGGUAUCUUUUUUAGUGUUUCAGAAAAAAUGUU